UACAGAGGUCUCAAGCGUUGUUCGGAUUCAUUGGGCGUAAGGGUGUGUAGGUGGCGCGCUAAGUCAGGUGUGAAAUUUCGGAGCUUAACUCCGAAACUGCAUUCGAUACUGGCGUGCUUGAGGACUGGAGAGGAGACUGGAAUUCAUGGUGUAGCAGUGAAAUGCGUAGAGAUCAUGAGGAAGACCAGUGGCGAAGGCGGGUCUCUGGACAGUUCCUGACACUGAGACACGAAGGCCAGGGGAGCAAACGGG
rnacentral:rRNA from 1 species